CAAGUCAUUUCAUAACUGCUGACACACGAUUUCUUGCACCUCCCUUUGAAGUGUCUGGUACUGGCCACUUUUGGAGACAGGAUACACUCUCACACAAAUAGUCCCCCUGAAGUCUAAUGUCACACCAAUAAGCAGUAAUAGAACAUACAUUAUUAUAGUGAAUCAAAUCUAAUCCUAGGUGUAUUACUGAUCAACCCAGAAAAGAAUAAGGAGAAGAAAGAGUGGAAGCAAGCAGUGGGAUCUACAACUGCCACUCACGUUGGUCAGUGUUUUCAGUGUCCCUUGUCACGUGAUCAUUCAUAGUAGUGGAAUGGAAGUUGGAAGAGGAGUUAUUGCGACCUGAGGGAAAGCUCCAUGACAGAUGGAAGAAGCUAGUCUGAGAGAAAAGAACAAUCAGUCAUUUCAGAGCCACCGAAUCAAGCGGUAAAGAGAAGGAAGUUGUUGCUAGAAGCUUUACAAAGAGGGUUUCUGUAGCUUACCAGUCCUGCUCCUGCUGAGGUCUGAGAAGAUUCUGGAGUUGCCAUACAGAACCCCACAGAUGACUGCUGAAAACUCCUAAGACUGAUCUGGGGAGAAGGCCUGGGACCCAGACUGAGAAAGGUCAGCCUGCGAAGGGUAUACCUGGAGAUUUAAGCUGCAAGCAGUGCAGAGUUUCUUGAAGGUAAACUGCAACCUGCAUAAAACAACA